AGAGUUUGUCCUGGCUCAGGACGAACGCUGGCGGCGUGCUUAACACAUGCAAGUCGAACGGUAAGGCCCUUUCGGGGGUACACGAGUGGCGAACGGGUGAGUAACACGUGGGUGAUCUGCCCUGCACUUUGGGAUAAGCCUGGGAAACUGGGUCUAAUACCGAAUAUGACCAUGGGAUGCAUGUCUUGUGGUGGAAAGCUUUUGCGGUGUGGGAUGGGCCCGCGGCCUAUCAGCUUGUUGGUGGGGUGAUGGCCUACCAAGGCGACGACGGGUAGCCGGCCUGAGGGGGUGUCCGGCCACACUGGGACUGAGAUACGGCCCAGACUCCUACGGGAGGCAGCAGUGGGGAAUAUUGCACAAUGGGCGCAAGCCUGAUGCAGCGACGCCGCGUGGGGGAUGACGGCCUUCGGGUUGUAAACCUCUUUCACCAUCGGCGAAGCCGGGAGCUUUUGUUUCUGGUGACGGUAGGUGGAGAAGAAGCACC
rnacentral:rRNA from 1 species